ensembl:lncRNA
AAAUGUUGAAUGUAUAUGUGAACAGACAACUGAAAUCGGUUCCUGGUGCCAUACAUUGAGGGACCUUGAGUUCCCUCGAGUGCCAUGCCUGAGGGCACAGCCACAGUGUGUUCCAUGGAAGCUGAGGCUUUGGAGAAGCUCUGAGUUCCACAAGAAGAGUGGGAAGGCCUGGAGGUGUUCAGUCUGGGAACGAGAAGAGUGGGAAAGUGAUUACAGCUGUUUUUAAGUCGAAAGAGGAAGGACAGAGUAAGGGCACUACUAGUUAUUUUUCAAGGAAAAGGGUUUCAUCCUUUGGGGAGGGGAAUGAUAGACCUCUUUGACAAAAUUAAUUAAAAAAAAAAAAAGCGGAGUUCCCAUUGUGGUUCAGCAGGUUAAGAAUCUGACAUAAUGUCCAUGAGGACGCAGGUUCAAUCCCUGGCCCUGCCCAGUGGGUUAAGGAUCCAGCGUUGCUGUGAGCUGUGGUGUAGGUUGCAGACUCAGCUUGGAAACCGCAUUGUUGUGGCUGUGGUGUAGGCCGGUGGCUACAGCUCCAAUUCCCUAGCCUGGGAACCUCCAUAUGCUGCAGGUGUGGCCAUAAAAAAAGAAAAAAAAAAGGAAAAUACACUGUUCGAAGUGCAAAAUUGGCCCAUAAGAUCAGGGAUUUCAUGGGAUCUUAGGACAUUCAUGUAAAUAACUCCUGUUUCAGACAGUAGGACUGAGAAUGAAUGGAAAUUUCCAGGAUUAGGUUUGAGUUAAGGAAGAAUUCUCCAAGAGUUUGGCAAGUCUUAGAGUGGAACCCAGUUUUUCUUAAGGGGAUUUACUCCCCAAUCCCUGGAACCUGCAUGGAUGGUCUGUGGGCUUUAGACUCACAGAGAAUAGGAUCGGCAUACAGGUGACACUGCUUCUAGCUGUGCUCCUCAGACAAUUUAUCUACCCUGCUAAAAAUCCCCUCACCCCGCUGGGAAUGGAGGUCAAACCUAUUACUGGGUGAUUGGGAUCAUUCAGUGACCAAGGGUAUGCAAAAUGCUUAUCCCAGUUCUAGAGUGGAUGAUGAGCAAAAAAAAAUGAACUUUUCUAAAUAAUUCUCAAAAAUUAUGGGUUGAAGAAAGAGCAGGAAAAAGCUGAAAUCUUGCCUAUGCAUAAGUUCUUCAUAAUUAUGUUCCUUUUUUUACUGUUAGGAAUAUUUGAGACAGCAUUCUAGCUUUGUGUGGGAAGUAACAAUAAAUGUCGAACUCUGAACAUGUACCAGAUUUAUAUUUCUUAAAACACUUGUAAAAUGAAUUGAAAGGUGAUAUUAUGGCGUCUUAGAGGUUUUGCUUUGGGGUUUUGUUUGUCGUGGCAUAUGGAAGUUUCCAGGCCAGGGAUUGAAUCCAAGUCGCAGCUGUGAUCUACGCCUCAGCAAUGCCGUGUCCUUUAACCCACUGUGCCACAGCAGGCACUCCUCUUAAAGUUUGUUGUGUGUGUGUUUUUUUUUUUAAGCAUUCUAACCAAGGUGUGAAAGAACCUUGUAGAAAAUGAAAGGUACUUGAGAUGAUUCAAAGUGUUUUCAAUGAGGAGAAACUUAUCCUGAAUUUCUCUUUAAUCGAAGAGGAACUGAUGUUGCAUUUUAAAGUAGCAUUAAUAAUGGGAAAGAAAAAGAACUGUAUAUCAAGUGAGAAGUGGUAAUACAGAAUAAUCACAGAGUAUAGCAGCUAAAUGCCUGUCUUUAAGAUUCUAGAGAGGAAUAUAGUUUUCAAAGCCCUUUGGUAACGGGCUUCUUAAAACAUCCAAUGGGGUUUGAACUGGGGGAUACGAACACUUAGUUCCAUGGGAGGCAGGCUAUUCUUAGCAGCUGGAAUCUCCGGGUAACAGGUCCAGAGUCUUUGCUCCAAUGCGAAUCGUAUUUAAUUCACCAAGCAGCGGAUUCGUGAGGCACCCCUACUGCAUCCAGAGCUAUUCCUGGGAAGGCAGGAAGCAGGGGUGCCCCUCACCUACAAGGACCAUAAGCCAGAUUGGGGAGGUCAACACAUGCUCCUAAAAGGAGGAGUUGGUACUGGCAGUGACUUCCCAAGUUGUUGAGAAGAGAGAAGGAACAUUGUGUGUGGCAGUUGAUGAUCGCCUUUGUGGAGGACGGGAGAACUGAGCGGGGUCUCGAAAAUCAGUGGGAGUUUCUGUCUUCCCGUCUCAAUAAAUGGCAGCACCACUCAUCUGGGUGUUCAGUCCAAAGCCUAGAAAUGAUACUCGCUUCCACUUUCCCGCAUCCCUCAAUCCAGACUCUCAGCCAUCCCUACACCUUCUACCUCCAUAAUGUAUCUUGACUCUCACCAUCUCUGUAGCCAUCAUCUUGGGUCAGGCCACCAUCAUUUCUCUGAAAUGCUUCAGUAGGUUAACCAGACUCGCUCUCUCCCUGCUGGGCCCAUCCUUGAAUCCAUUUUCCAUAAAAGAAAUGGUGUGAUGAGGUCACCCCUGAGAUGGAAACUCUUCAGAGGUUUCCCUCUGGGCUACAGAUGAGGUCUUCGCUCCUCACCUGGCUGACUAGGCCCUGUAGGAUGUGGUCCAGAUUCGCCCCUGUUCUUCUCCCCUUAGCCUACCAGGGUCCAGCCACACUGCCCUCCUAGGAUGCUGGGAGCCAGUUAGAUGUACAAUAGAGAAAAAGCAUGUGAACAUUCCUGAAGGCCAUGUAAAGAGAUCAGCUCAAACUUAGCGAGAAAGCUUGGUUUGAGAAUGAUUCUGACACACACGGGGGCAUCUAAGUGGAAAAUACCAGCAGCACGGCUUAGUGUCAAGGACCCCCAGGGAAGCCUCCUUUUAUAUUUCAAAAUGUGUCUCCUUUACCAGCUUCAUUGAAUUCUCUCCCAGGGUGAUAUAGUUCAUUAAAUCCCCGCCAAGAAGUAUAGCCAGUAUUUCCUGUGCAUCAAGUAUUAUACUGGGUACAGGAGCUAUAAGAAAAGAGACUUUUACAGUAGAAAGUUGACAAAAUACUAUAAACCAGCUAAAAUGGGAAAAAAAUAAAAA